GUCCCACUCGACUUCCAGCCACUUCCUGCUUCUGGUCUCCGCGACUUUCUGCCCCCAGCUGGGUCUCAGACACAGGACAGACCCGGGGUCCUAACAAGUCCCCUGGCUGAAAGACUACAGGUUCUGGAAAUGAUUCAUUAUGGGCCCAGGAGACUGCUGCCUCCCCGCACCUUAAUACACCAUGUACCUCCAACUCACCAAAUUCCUACCCCCCCCCCCAACACCAAGCCUUUGCUCGUGCUGCUCUCCUGAUGCAAGACUCCAUCCUCUUCACCUGAGUGUCCCUGAAGCAUGAGAGCAGUGGAGAGACAGGCCAGGAUGGGUCCUGUGCUCCCACGUGAGGCGGGAGAGAUGCGGAAGAAGCAGCAAAGGAGAAGUGAAGGAAGAGAACCAGGAGAGCAGGUCCCAGGAGCCAGGGAAGCAAGUCACAGGCUAACCGGCAGGUAUGGGAGCCACUGGCCCAGAUGGUGUGUAAGAACCUGUUGACCUUCUGGUGGCCUCUGUGUGAUGUCCCUUGGACGCGGUUCUCACAGUCACUCCGGAAGGCUGACAUCAGCUUGCUCUGGCCCAGAUAAGCACAGUCGCGCUAACAGGUCAGAAAGAGCCUGCAGGACGUGCCUGUGUGAGCGGAGGUCGGAGUGGGGCUGCGUGUGUGACAGUCAAGGGUAGGUAGUUCUCUGCAUGUGUGGGGAGUGUGAUCAUAUCUGUCUAGGAGUGUGUGCCUGGGUGUGUGUGUCAUUAGAUAUGUGCACGUGUGUCUCUGAGAAUAUACGGCAUUACACUGAGCUUGUAUAUAUGUGUGUGUGUGUCCAUUCAGCACCCGUUUUUCUCCUGUCACCUCUGUGAGGCUGCUGGGGGAGGGACAGAGGCUGAAAUGGCCCAGGAAGUUCCUCUUGCCCCCCCAACUCCACCUUCCAGGUAAUGGAGGGGACACUUAUGCCUGUGGGGAGUGGCAGGGCUGGGCUCUGGCCCGGAUACACAGCAGGGAGGGGAUGGGGAGAGGUCUGGGCUGGGUCAGAUGAGGGACAGGUCAGAAAGCCAGGCCCCGGCUACUCAGCACACCCCCACUGAGGUCUUGACCAACCUGGAGCCUUGGGGACUCCAGGCAAUAGGUCACAGAGAUCCUCCCUCCUACGCGACUUCUAGAACUUGUUGUGGAAGGCCUUGAGCCUGGGCAGAAGUCCCAAGGACCCUUUGAUCCUGCCGAUUUUCCUCCAGCCCGCUCUGAGGGUCUAGGAGGUUGAGAGACUUGGGCAGAGGGUAUGGGACCAUAUUCACUGUCCAGGUUGCUGUCCCUAGCUUGCCCUCUUCACCCUGCCCUGGAGCCUACAUAUUCUUUCUUUUCCUCAAAAUGAGCCCGUCUCCUCCAGCUGCACACGCACGCACAUACACACGCACUUUCACAGGAGGGGGACCAAGCCCAGGAUCUCCUGGCUUCAGACCCCACGUCAGCGCCUGGCUGGUGAGACCUUCGGCCGCCUUCUGCCAGGGCCAGCACGAAGCCCCCACCUGACAAGGCACCGAUGCUCUGAGUCUGGAGGCUGGCUCUUAGCUCCUGGCACAGCCUUGGCCUUGCUGGGGGACCCUGGGUGAGAACAGAGCCACGUUCAGAAGUAGGCAGACCGCAGCCUCCUUCGGGGAGAUUAAGCGAUAGGAAAAACGAUUAGGAUCUUACCGAGUACUUCCUGUGUGCCAAGCACACUUUACACAGAAUGACUCAUCUGACCUUCACUAGGACCCUGGGAUAGAUAUUAUUAUGAUCUGAUCUUAUAGAAGGCCACCGAGGCCAGAGAUACUGUAACAGCUUGUCCAAGGUCACAAAGGGAUUGAGUGUUGGAAACGACACACAGCCGCAAUGUGCGUCCUUAACUGCCGAGUCGCAGGUCGCUCAACAGCAGCUUUUCCACUCAGGGUCACUAAUGAUGUGCCAGGUGCUGUGCUGAGUACUUUCCAUCCAUUCACUGAUUUUGUGGGGUCCUGCUCUUUUAAGGACCAAAGCUGGAGGAAGAGGAAGCAGGAGGGGGCAUGACACAUGGUUUGGGAAGAGAGCCAGGGAGAGCUGAGGACGGUAGCUCAAGCUAUGGCAGCAACAGGCGAACUUUGUUUUAAAGGGCUGGACAGUAACUAUUGUAGUGAUCUUGGUCACAAUUGCUAGACUUCGCCAUUGCACAGCCAAAGCAGCCAGAGACAACUUGCUGGAGAAUGGUCGUGGCUUUGAGCCAAGAAGAUGGGAUUUAUGGAAAAGGAAAUUUGAAUAUCAUAACAUUUUCAUGUGUCACAGAAUAUUCUUGUUUUGGUGUUUUUCCCUUUUAAUUUGUGGGCUGUUACAAAAACAGGAGAGCUGGAUUUGGUCUGAGGGCUGUCAUUUGCCAGCUCCCAGAAGGGCUCAGCUCCCACCAGGCCUCGCCUCUGGGCUGGCUCUUGCAAUUCUCCAGCUGUCCCAGGCUGCUGUGCCCUGGCAACAUGCUGACCCCGAGUUCUGAAGGAGAAUUAGACAGGAGCUCGUCCUGACCCAGAGCUGGGAUCCAGAUCUAAGCCAAGAACUCCCCUCGGGGUCUAAGUAUUCAGUUCCACCAUUGCCUGCCUGAGGCACAUUGAGCAAGUUUCUUAACCUCUCAAUUCUCUGGGAUUCCCUUCAGGUGCAAAGGAGAGAAAUUCAACUCAAUUGCUUAGGCUAGUAAGGAGAUUUCUUGCCUCCCGUAUGGAAAUGUCCAGGAGUAGAUCUCACAGCUUCAGGUACAGUUAGAUCCAGGUGCUUUGAUGACAUGGUCUGGAGUCUCCCUCUUUCCACCUCUUCGCUCUGUGUUUCCAAGUUAGCUUCAAACUCCAUUAUGGUCUUUCCAAGAGGUGGCAGAUGCUGAUAGGCGGCUAUCAGCAGCUGAUGACUCGCUUUCUAACCGUUUGGCAACCUCAGUUGACAACAAACUCCACUUCCCCAAGCACUUAGCAAGUUUCCAGAAGAUACUUGCAGGCUCUUGUUGGCCGGGUUUGGGUCAUGGAACCCCUGCUGAAUUGAUCACAAUGUCCAGGGAAAAUGGAAUGUCUGGUUCACCUCUGGAUCUCUGGGGCAGCGUCAGCCCCCACUGGAUCAGAACAUGCUGGGAGUAGAGGAGGGGUGGCUCCCCAAAGGAAAACCGGAAGGAGGGCAAGUAGAGGCUGUAGGCAAAAACAGCGGCUGCCUGCCAUAAAAUCAGACGGUCUACAAACUCUUCUAUAAAAGGGGGUAAUGACUGUACCUCACAACCAGUUGGCAACCCUGAGCCACCGUAAAAAGGAAAGAGGGAAAUUCGGUGCAUCUGGUGGGUGUCUCAUUCGGGGGACCUCUUAUAUUCACACCACAACCUCCUGUUACAGAAAAGUCCCACACAAUAUAAGAUGGCACAGCCGCUAUAGAAAACAAUAUGGAGUUUCCUCAAGAAGUUGAAAAUAGAACUGCUGUAUGAUCCAGCAAUUCCACUUCUGAGUACAUACCCCAAAGAAACGAGAGCAGAGACUCGGACAGAUAUCUGUACACCCAUCUUCAGAGCAGCACUAAUCACAACGGCCAAAAGGCAGAAGCAACUCAAGUGCCCAUCGAUGAACAAAUAAAUAGACAAAGAAAACGUGCUGUAGUCAGACAGUGGACUACCAUGCAGCCUCGAAAAGAAAGACUUUCUGACACAUGCAACAACAUGGCUAAGCCUUGAGGACGUCAUGCCAACGGAAAUUAAGCCAGUCACAAAAAGGACUCAUAUUGUGUGUUUUCACGUAGAUGCGGUACCAGGAAUAAUCAGAUGCAGAGAGACAGGAAGGAGAAGGGUGGUCGUCAGGGGCCAGGAAGAUGGGGAACUGGAAUCACUGGGUCAUGGUAUGGGGUUCUGGUUUGCAAUGACGAGAAGUUCUCGGGGAUGGUUGCACACCAGCGUGAUUGUACUUAAUACCACUGGGCCACACACCUAAAAAUGGUGAACAUGGUAAAUAUCGUGUAUGUUUUUCCGUAAUGUUUUUUUUUAAUUUGAAGAAUGUCUUAUAGAGGUGAAUUCUUAAUUCAAGGAUAAUUAACUCAAAACUCCUUUCAGGAGCAAUGGAAAGUCAGGGGUGAAGGUGUCAUUGGGGCAAAUUCCUCCCUGAAGCCCUCAAACCAUGCCGGGUCAAGACUUGUGGGUGGGAACCCUGUUUUUCUGGGCCAGUGGGUGGUCAAGAGGCUGCGGUCUGGUGUUGCGACCCUGGCUGAACGCUCCUUCCCUCAACACAGUCACAGGACAAAAGCAGUCGCUUCUAGCACUGCCACAUGCCCCACCUGAGAGUGGGUGUCCUGCCUCCUGCACCCUCACACACCAAGACUCCAAGGGCCUCUUGCCUGAGAGGACAACAGAGGUUCAGGGCAUGCGCCUGGGGUUGCACACAAUCACUUGGUGGCAGAGCCGAGCUUGGACACUGUGGACAUCAUGCCGGCUGCCAGGAGUGUUGGGGGUUGGGCAGCCAUCCAGUCUGGAAUGACACAGUACUUACAUGGAGGGUGAGGAGGAACCAGCCAAAAACCUGUUUGUACUUUCUCCCCACGUGGUGGCUUGUUCUGGGCCCAGUGGUUCCAUAGGACCUUUCUAGGGACGGUCCACAGAACUGAGCAAAUGGCCACGUUCUCUGAGACGCUGAGGCCAGCUUGGAAAUAUGUCGCCUAGGCGUUGCAUUCCUUCCACCCUGCUCUACUUCUGUCCUGUCACUCUUGCUUCCUGGGCAUUGCACGCACCAUUAAAGCACUAGCACACGAG